AUAUAUAUAUAUAUGUAUGUGUGUGAUGAUAAUGAAAUGAAAUCAAAUAGUGAUAUUUUGAAAGCAUUUAAUACGAACGUUUCAGGUUUCCGUAACAUAUAAUAGGAAAUGCAUCCAUUACGUAAACCUUCUUCAGUUAAAGCAUUUCAAAAAUAUACGC